rnacentral:rRNA from 1 species
AACGUAGGAGACAAACGUUAUCCGGAGUUACUGGGCGUAAAGGGCGUGUAGGCGGUCUGUUAAGUCUGGCGUGAAAGCUCUCGGCUAAACCGGGAGAGGUCGUUGGAUACUGGCAGACUAGAGGACGGUAGAGGCGUGUGGAAUUCCGGGUGUAGUGGUGAAAUGCGUAGAUAUCCGGAGGAACACCAGUGGCGAAAGCGGCCACCUGGACUGCACCUGACGCUGACACGCGAAAGCUAGGGGAGCGAACGGG